UCCUGGUCAGUGAAACUGAUCUACCCGUGCAGAAGCGGGUAUGAAUAUACAAGACGAGAAGACCCUAUGGAGCUUUAGACGCCCACCAAUCACGAAAAGCAGGUCUCGCUCAACGGACCCCCAAACAACGUGAUACUGGCACAAACGUCUUCGGUUGGGGCGACCGCGGGAGAGAAAAAAGCUCCCGAGAGGAUUGGGGCUACCCUAAAACCAAGAGCUACACCUCUAAGUC
rnacentral:rRNA from 1 species